rnacentral:rRNA from 1 species
GACGAACGCUGGCGGCGUGCUUAACACAUGCAAGUCGAGCGGAAAGGCCCUUUCGGGGGUACUCGAGCGGCGAACGGGUGAGUAACACGUGAGUAAUCUGCCCUGGACUUCGGGAUAGCUUCGGGAAACCGAGAUUAAUACCGGAUAUGACAUUGUCUCGCAUGGGAUGGUGUGGAAAGUUUUUUCGGUUCAGGAUGUGCUCGCGGCCUAUCAGCUUGAUGGUGGGGUAAUGGCCUACCAUGGCUUUGACGGGUAGCCGGCCUGAGAGGGUGUCCGGUCACACUGGGACUGAGACACGGCCCAGACUCCUACGGGAGGCAGCAGUGGGGAAUAUUGGACAAUGGGCGGAAGCCUGAUCCAGCAACGCCGCGUGAGGGAUGACGGCCUUCGGGUUGUAAACCUCUUUCGCCAUCGACGAAGCCUUUCGGGGUGACGGUAGGUGGAGAAGAAGCACCGGCCAACUACGUGCCAGCCGCCGCAGUAAGAC